AACGAACGCUGGCGGCAUGCCUAACACAUGCAAGUCGAACGAGACCUUCGGGUUUAGUGGCGCACGGGUGCGUAACGCGUGGGAACCUGCCCUUAUGUUCGGAAUAACUCCCCGAAAGGGGUGCUAAUACCGGAUAGUGUCUUCGGAUCAAAGAUUUAUCGCCUUUGGAUGGGCUCGCGUUGGAUUGGCUAGUUGGUAGGGUAAAAGCCUACCAAGGCGACGAUCCAUAGCUGGUCUGAGAGGAUGAUCAGCCACACUGGGACUGAGACACGGCCCAGACUCCUACGGGAGGCAGCAGUGGGGAAUAUUGGACAAUGGGCGAAAGCCUGAUCCAGCAAUGCCGCGUGAGUGAUGAAGGCCUUAGGGUUGUAAAGCUCUUUUACCCGGGAUGAUAAUGACAGUACCGGGAGAAUAAGCUCCGGCUAACUCCGUG
rnacentral:rRNA from 1 species